ensembl:lncRNA
CAUCCCCUAGUGACAGUCACACCAAACUUACAAACUGGUCAUAAAGCAGCCUUCAUAAUAUUAUGAAUAAUAUUCAUAAAAUAAAAAGUAUGAACAUACCCAUACAAAACAAAUCACUGCCAAUAAAAAAAAAAAAAAAAAAAAAAAAAAAAAAAAAAAAAAAAACUAGCUUUUCUAAGGCUAAACAACAUAAAUAAUAAUAAUAAUAAUAAUAACUAUUUAGUUUAGGGACCAAUUAUCUCUAUUAAUUAACUUAUCAACAUAAAUAAUAAUAAUAACAACUAUUUAGUUUAGGGACCAAUUAUCUCUAUUAACUAACUAUUAACUACAGUAUGACUUUUGCCUCCAUAAACUCCUAAUUUGGUGCUUUUUAAUAGUUAUUAAGGUAGUUAAGUUUAGGUAUAGAGUGGAUUAAGGGAUCUACAAUAUGGUCAUGCAGAAUAAUAACAUUAAUAUGUGCUUUAUAAGUAUGAAUAAACAGCCAAUAUGCUAGUAAUAUGCAUACUAAUAAGCAACUACUUCAGAACAAGAAUUGGUCCCUAAACUAAAGUGUUACCAAAACAUUUUCUGUACAAAAAAAAUGCAAUAAAAAAAAAAAAAAAAAAACAUUAAAUCCCAUCACUUCUCUACAAGACAUAUAAAUACUCUCUGAUUUAUUUGAGUUCUAAGAGUUUGGAGUUUGGAGACAGAUGAGCAGAAGAUGAUGGCUGUCUUGCCGACACUGUGAAUCCCACUGCAAGCGUGGGUGAGAAAAAGGGCCAAGAGCAGGUGAGUAAACAUGCUGAUGAGAGUGUGGAUGUAAUGGUUAAUGAGCAUCCAAUUGGUAUGGGGGUGGAAGAGGUGUUUCUGGACACAUGCUGCUACAGAGCCCUGCUGAUGACAAGAAGGAUGAAGUGGAAUUGUCACAUAUUCCCAAAGUAGAAGUUGAUUUGUUGCAUUUGAGGUUAAGUGAACAGCGAACACUUUUGGACAUUGGACACCGCUUCACUGACCUGUUUCAGGAUACUUUAUCCUGCAACCCAUCGUGGCCAUCUGAGAUUCUCCAGAACGCAGAGGUGAACAAUGGUCGCCUCAUCUGGAACAUCUAUCCAUUAUUUCCCACCCAUUCUAUCUACCCCGGGAGUUUUCAUUGAUCAUCUUUACUGCUGUUUACAUACCACCACAAGCAGACACCGGCUUGGCUUUGUCUAAGCUUCACGAUGUGCUCAGUGGCAACAUCAACAAACAUCCUGACGCUGCUCAUAUCAUCGCUGGGGACUUUAACAAAGCCAAUCUUAGGCAGGCCAUGCCAAACUUUAAUCAACAUGUAUCCUGUCCAACCAGAGAUCUGAAUACAUUGGAUCAUUGCUACACUCAGUUUAAGAAUGCCUACAAAGCCCGCUCACUGCCAUGCCGCCAUUUUCCUCACACUGGAAUACACAUUUGUGACUAUUAAUCUACAUCUUCCAAUUCAAAACACGGAUGUUUUGAUCAUUGUCUGUGUGUGCAAAUUGAAAGAUUCCACUUUUCACAUCAGAGCUGUGAGUGUAAAUUUCAACUUACAAAUACGAAUGUUAAUAUGACAAGUUCUCACAUUCAGAUUUUCAACCUCUCGAGUUUAGCUACUGAUUUACCUCCAUACACUUCAUCCUCCAUAUUUAAAUCCGUUUCCUGGUGUUUCACAAAUUGUGAUAACCAGCCAAGCUCUGAGUUGAUACAUGUUUGAAUCCACCUGGGUCUCAAUUUUCACCAUGAACUCUCUUUUUUGCCUUUAUAAACUUAUCUCUUAAGGUCUUCCAGAUAUUCUUUCAAACAAUUUCUUCCUUGGGCUCGGCAAAAGUGUGCAUCUAGGGUGCAUACUGUAGCAGCCACAAAGCGGGCGCUCUUGAGCACUCUUCUGAAAGCUAAAAGGACGAAGGGUACAGCAGGGUCGGUGGGUCGGUCUAGCCCAGUGGUUUUCUCAGUUUUUCAAGAGCGACCCUUUUUUUUUUUUUUUUUUUUUUUACGCGACCCAUAGGCUUAUUCUUAAGCCAGGCAUAAGAGUAACAAUAACAACCGCUUUUGAUGAUGCACGUGCACUGGAUGAUCAUUGACGCGAUUGCAAUGCAAAGUUGAUUCUGCACUAAUUUGAUCUAGCUAUGGGAUGCUCAUUAA